rfam:Ananas comosus cultivar MD2 ACMD2_Scaffold_3521, whole genome shotgun sequence.
AUCCCAGGUGAGCUUGUUCUGGGUGUUCAUCUGAUUCAUAGGAGGCCGAAAAUAACGAUGGUAGUUUCGCUGGUAACACCCCCAUUUUCUAUGGAGGCGUUCCAUUAGUAUCUCUCCAUACAUGA